UAACGGAAAAAGCACGACUUUCUUCUGAGG
rnacentral:piRNA from 1 species